rnacentral:rRNA from 1 species
GUUGGAAGAUUGAGGGGGGUUGCUUCUAGUACGAGAGGACCGAGGUGAACGCAUCACUGGUGUUCGGGUUGUCAUGCCAAUGGCACUGCCCGGUAGCUAAAUGCGGACGAGAUAAUCGCUGAAAGCAUCUAAGCGAGAAACUUUCCCCAAGAUGAGUCUUCCCUAUACGUAAGUAUCUAUAAGGGUUGUUAAAGACUAUGACGUUGAUAGGUGAGGUGUGUAAGUACAGCGAUGUAUUGAGCUAACUCAUACUAAUUACCCGAGAGGCUUAACCUUA